rnacentral:rRNA from 1 species
UACAGAGGUCUCAAGCGUUGUCCGGAUUUAUUGGGCGUAAAGAGCGUGUAGGCGGCCAGGUAGGUCUGCUGUGAAAACUCGAGGCUCAACCUCGAGACGUCGGCGGAAACCAUCUGGCUAGAGUCCGGAAGAGGAGAGUGGAAUUCCUGGUGUAGCGGUGAAAUGCGCAGAUAUCAGGAAGAACACCCGUGGCGAAGGCGGCUCUCUGGGACGGUACUGACGCUGAGACGCGAAAGCGUGGGGAGCGAACAGG